UACGUGGGGGGCAAGCGUUGUUCGGAAUUACUGGGCGUAAAGGGUUCGUAGGUGGCCAACUAAGUCAGACGUGAAAUCCCUCAGCUUAACUGGGGAACUGCGUCUGAUACUGGUUGGCUUGAGUGCAGGAGAGGAACGCGGAAUUCCAGGUGUAGCGGUGAAAUGCGUAGAUAUCUGGAGGAACACCGGUGGCGAAGGCGGCGUUCUGGACUGCAACUGACACUGAGGAACGAAAGCCAGGGUAGCAAACGGG
rnacentral:rRNA from 1 species